rnacentral:rRNA from 1 species
CGGCACGGGUGAGUAACACGUAUGCAAUCCACCUGUAACAGGGGGAUAACCCGGAGAAAUCCGGACUAAUACCCCAUAAUAUGGGCGCUCCGCAUGGAGAGUUCAUUAAAGAGAGCAAUUUUGGUUACAGACGAGCAUGCGCUCCAUUAGCCAGUUGGCGGGGUAACGGCCCACCAAGGCGACGAUGGAUAGGGGCUCUGAGAGGAAGGUCCCCCACAUUGGAACUGAGACACGGUCCAA